GACGGAAGGUGCAAGCGUUGCUCGGAAUCACUGGGCGUAAAGGGUGCGUAGGCGGCCUCUCAAGUCUGGCGUGAAAGCCCAGGGCUCAGCCCUGGAAGUGCUCUAGAAACUGAGAGGCUAGAGUGCCGGAGGGGAGAGUGGAAUUCCCGGUGUAGCGGUGAAAUGCGUAGAUGAGUCGGGACGGAAUGACCGGUAGGCGAAAGCGACUCUCUGGACGGUAACUGACGCUGAGGCACGGAAAGCGUGGGGAGCAAACAGG
rnacentral:rRNA from 1 species